AAGUCGAACGAGAUUAUCCAGCUUGCUGGAUAUGAAAGUGGCGCACGGGUGCGUAACUUUUGAGCAACCUACCUCUGUCAGGGGGAUAGCCCGGCGAAAGUCGGAUUAACACCGCAUGACAUUAUUGAUGUGGCAUCACAUUAUAAUCAAAUAUUUAUAGGACAGAGAUGGGCUCGCGUGACAUUAGCUAGUUGGAGAGGUAACGGCUCACCAAGGCAACGAUGUCUAGGGGCUCUGAGAGGAGAAUCCCCCACACUGGUACUGAGACACGGACCAUACUCCUACGGGAGGCAGCAGUAAGGAAUAUUGGUCAAUGGAGGGAACUCUGAACCAGCCAUGCCGCGUGCAGGAUGACUGCCCUAUGGGUUGUAAACUGCUUUUGUCGGGGAAUAAACCUACGUUUGUAAACGUAGCUGAAUGUACCCGAAGAAUAAGGAUCGGCUAACUCCGUGCCAGCAGCCGCGGUAAUACGGAGGAUCCAAGCGUUAUCCGGAUUUAUUGGGUUUAAAGGGUGCGUAGGCGGUUCUUUAAGUCAGAGGUGAAAGACGGCAGCUUAACUGUCGCAGUGCCUUUGAUACUGAAGAACUUGAAUUAGGUUGAGGAAUGCGGAAUGAGACAAGUAGCGGUGAAAUGCAUAUAUAUGUCUCAGAACCCCGAUUGCGAAGGCAGCAUUCCAAGCCUUUAUUGACGCUGAUGCACGAAAGCGUGGGGGAUCGAACAGGAUUAGAUACCCUGGUAGUCCACGCCCUAAACGAUGAUAACUCGAUGUUGGCGAUAGACAGUCAGCGUCCCAGCGAAAGCGUUAA
rnacentral:rRNA from 1 species